rnacentral:rRNA from 1 species
UACAGAGGUCUCGAGCGUUAGGCGGAAUCACUGGGCUUAAAGCGUGUGUAGGCGGAUCCGUAAGUACCUUGUGAAAUCCCACGGCUCAACCGUGGAACUGCUUGGUAUACUGCGGGUCUUGAGCCACCUAGGGGCAAGUGGAACGAACGGUGGAGCGGUGAAAUGCGUAGAUAUCGUUUGGAACGCCAAUGGUGAAAACAACUUGCUGGGGGUGUGCUGACGCUGAGACACGAAAGCCAGGGGAGCAAACGGG